rnacentral:tRNA from 1 species
GAUGGUGGCUUAGUGGUAGAGUGCUUGCCUAGCAUGUGUGAGGCAUUGGGUUCUAUUCUCAGUAUCA